UGGGGGUCUGAGAAGUCGGGGCCUUGCGCCCUGGCAAGCCUGCACCGUGGACCCUCGCUGCUCAGCUCCCUGGCAGCAGCCUCUCGGGGUUCUUUCGACUGCUGAGGCAGGGACAACUUCAGACUGCUCCUGGCCACCCACCUUCCUGGGGUCCAGCCAAUCCCUGGGAAGCUCAGUCACCUGCUGUGUUAGGUGAUUUUGUUUUGUUUUGUUUUGGAGACAGAAUCUGCUUUGUAGUUCAGGCCGGCCUGGAACUCACUAUGUAGCUGAGGUGAUGAUCCUCCUCCCUCAGCCUCCUGAGGGCUGAAAUUAUAGGUGGGUGCCACCACGUCCACCUGGGAGUAGUCUACUUUUAUGUUACUCUAAUAAAACACUUGAAGUAACUUUGUAAAGGAAAGAGGUGCUGAGCUCAGGAUCCUGGAGGCCGAAGUCCUAGAUCCUGCAAACUCAUUGGUGUGGUUUCCGGCCAGGGCUUGGCAGAUGGCAGGAGUGUGGUGGGAGGGAGCUCACCAAGCCAACAGGACUCCAGGGAUCAGGACUGGGGCGGCUCCCUGUCGUGGGGCUCACAGGAGACCCGGGGGACACCCUCCCUCCUUCCGAGGCCCCGCACUGCUCCAGCCCCACUGCAGGGCAAGCUUCCGAUGCACUCACUCGGGCCCCAUCCGAACCCCGACUGCUGUGACCAAGGGUGGGGCCGUAUCUCGCUCCUGCUGGGGGCAGCCCUGGACUCUCAGCUGGGACAGCAAAGCGAGGAGCCAGGCCCCUGACCGGGGCAUCCCAGCCUCUGGAGCACAGGAAGCCGGCUCCUUCCUCGGCCAAUCCCCCAGUCUCGGAACUCAGUCAGGGCACCACGGAACACACCGAGAAGCACUCAGGCGGGAGAGGGGGCGCCUCGCCAGCCUUCACCUCCGGGGGAACAUGCCUGGUCUGGGGCCCGAGAUCAGGGCAGUGCCAGCACAGCAAAAGUCCUGGCCAGGUCGCCAUCCUCAGCAGCACCUCGCUGUGGCAGUGGCCUGGGGAGCCUCAGCCUGAGUCAGUUUGGUGGCCGGGUGGGUGACCGGCUUGGUGACAGCCUUGGCCGGCUCCCCCAGGUCCAUUCCAGUCCCACUGCCAGCACAGUGAGAACCGGAAAAUGGGGUGACAAGGCCACCAGCUGAGCCGUGGCCAGAGACAGAGGCACGGGGAGGGGAGGCGACACGGUUUAUUCAAAGUGAGGAGGCGCUGGGCUGGGUGUCAACAGACGCACCCUGCACACGCGUCCUGACACACCACACACGCACACACGCAGGCCUUCAGUCUCAGUGUCAUUGGGUGGGCCGCUGGGGCAGGAUCACAAUCCGGGAGAACUCACAGAAACCGACCCGCAACACAGCCCUCUGAUCUCCGACAUCACACCUGUCCCUCGACACAACACCGGCUCUCUCCUC